GUGCUUGCUUCAGCAGCACUUAGAGUAAAAUUGAAAUAAUACACAGAUUAUCAUGGCCCCUGCACAAGGAUGACACACAAAUUUGUGAAGAGUUCCAUAUUUUU